GGAUCCAGACUUUGAUCAUGGCUCAGAGUGAACGCUGGCGGCGUGCCUAAUACAUGCAAGUCGAACGCGAAAGUCCUUCGGGAUGAGUAAAGUGGCGCACGGGUGAGUAAUGGUUGAGAACAUGCCCUGAGGUGGGGAAUAACAGUUGGAAACGACUGCUAAUACCGCAUGGAAUCGAAAGAUUAAAGGUGGGGACCGCAAGGCCUACCGCCACAGGAUUGGCUCAACUCCCAUUAGCUAGUUGGCAGGGUAACGGCCUACCAAGGCAACGAUGGGUAUGUGGUCUUAGAGGAUGGUCACACACACUGGAACUGAGACACAGUCCAGACUCCUACGGGAGGCAGCAGUAGGGAAUAUUGCACAAUGGAGGAAACUCUGAUGCAGCAACGCCGCGUGAGCGAAGAAGGCCCUUGGGUCGUAAAGCUCUUUAGCCUGGAAAGAAGUGCCUGUAAGUGAAUAACGUGCAGGUGUGACGGUACCAGGAGAAUAAGGACCGGCUAAUUUCGUGCCAGCAGCCGCGGUAAUACGAAAGGUCCAAGCGUUACUCGGAAUUACUGGGCGUAAAGCGCGCGUAGGCGGCUUUGUAUGUCGAUUGUGAAAGCCCCGGGCUCAACCUGGGAACUGCAGUCGAAACUGCAAAGCUUGAAUGUUGGAGAGGUUGGGGGAAUACCUAGUGGAGAAGUGAAAUUCGUAGAGAUUAGGUGGAACACCAGAGGCGAAGGCGCCUGACUGGCCAAACAUUGACGCUGAGGCGCGAAAGCGUGGGUAGCAAACAGGAUUAGAUACCCUGGUAGUCCACGCCGUAAACGAUGGACACUAGCCGUUCGAAGCAUUAACCCUUUGAGUGGCAAAGCUAACGCAUUAAGUGUCCCGCCUGGGAAGUACGGUCGCAAGACUAAAACUCAAAGGAAUUGACGGGGGCCCGCACAAGCGGUGGAGUAUGUGGUUUAAUUCGACGCAACGCGCAGAACCUUACCUGGUCUUGACAUCGCGAGAUCGCUGCAGAGAUGUAGCUUUACCUUCGGGUACUCGUAGACAGGUGCUGCAUGGCUGUCGUCAGCUCGUGUUGUGAAAUGUUCGGUUAAGUCCGGCAACGAGCGCAACCC
rnacentral:rRNA from 1 species